rnacentral:sRNA from 1 species
AAAAUUAUAGUGAUGGCCACUGGAGGAUGGAUUAGAGAGGAUGAGUCGGCUGGCUGGAAGACCAACUGGAAGACUACUGCAGCCAUAGAGUUGAUAGCAAACAGAAGACACAAAGUGCACAUAUUGCCCUGGCUUAUGAUUUCAUGACAAAUUGGCAUGGUAAUACUUAAUACUUAACAGUUGCAGAAAAAUAGAAAGAUCUAAAUGGAGGACUUACAAAAUAUGGAGCUCUUAAAUAACGGACUUGGAAUUGAGAAUUAUUACAAGCCAUUAAUCAUUAUAGGUCUCCCCGGAAGUGAAUGAAUGAGAAUUUAUCAUUGCUCUUAUUAGGUACGUGCCUCCAAGACUUCUUCAGGAGGAUUUUCUGAAGCCCCAGUGGCUGCUGUUGUUUGAGUUUGGUUUGGAGCAAAACUGAGGUAGUCCUAACAUUUCUGGGACUGAAUCCAGGCAAGAGAAAGAAGAAAAAGAAGAAGAAAAAGAGGAGGAAAAAGCCUGGAAAACAUAUUAAUCCCAGUGCUUUUACGCCCGGAAACAAAGAGACUAAGCCAGACUGUGGGGGAAAGGGAGAUAAGAAGGAUCCUGGAACUUUAAAGAGGGAAAGAGUGAGA